UGCGUAGGCGGGCUAAUAAGUCAGUGGUGAAAUCUUCCGGCUCAACCGGGAACCUGCCAUUGAUACUGUUAGUCUUGAGUUCGGUUGAGGUAGGCGGAAUGUGUAAUGUAGCGGUGAAAUGCUUAGAUAUUACACAGAACACCAAUUGCGUAGGCAGCUUACUAGACCGACACUGACGCUGAGGCACGAAAGCGUGGGUAGCGAACAGGAUUAGAUACCCUGGUAGUCC
rnacentral:rRNA from 1 species